UCUGACUACUGUGUAGCCCUACAGCCU
rnacentral:piRNA from 1 species